rnacentral:rRNA from 1 species
AGUCACUGACAUUAGAUACCCGCGUAGUCCCAGCCGUAAACAAUGUGCGUUAGGUGUGUCGGUAACCACGUGUUACUGAUGCGCCGAAGAGAAAUCGUGAAACGCACCACCUGGGAAGUACGGUCGCAAGGCUGAAACUUAAAGGAAUUGGCGGGGGAGCACCACAACAGGUGGAGCCUGCGGUUUAAUUGGAUUCAACGCCGGACAUCUCACCGGAUAAGACAGCUGAAUGAUUGUCAAUCUGAAGGUUUUACAUGACUAGCUG